UGUCUUUUCCCUCCACGCCUCCUGAGAUGGACGUGCUCACCUGGGCCUCGGAAAUCCCACACUCUUCAGUCGGCAAACUGCGAACAAGAACAGGAAAUCUGCCACGCAGCAAACACUUGGGGAGGUCAGUGGGACACUGUUGGUUUUAGGGAAGAAAAUGCCCCUGUAGCUCCGGCGGGGAACCCCAAAACGGUCAGCAAAGGCAGGCCACACGGAGUGAGCCGGCCAGAUGGAGCAGGACAUCCUGAGUGUGGAGGGGGAGGCGGGCCUGGGUCCUGGGCAGGGUGGCCUGAGAGCAGGGACUGGUACAAAACCCAGAGACAUUGGUGGGUAGCAAAGGUCUGGUUUCCAAAUGCAUUUUGUAAGAAAGUCAGUCUGUUUAGAAAAAGGGUUUAAAAAUCAGGGGAAAGGUACAAAGUUCUGAGAAUUCUCAAAGAGGCCGGGGUGGGGCUGGCCUGGGGUGAGGGCUGGAGGGCUCCGCUGCAGCUCCCUGGUAGCCAUGCUCUCCCCCUGGGGGACUCGUGCCAGAGCCACCCACCUUGCUCGGUAAGAGUGGGCAGGGCUCACCGCUGAGGGGCCAGCGCUUGGCCCGGCUCCUAUCCCCACACUCCGUGUGCAGAAAAAUCUUGGCCUCUUUCUCCAGCUUUGAGGAGCCCACAGCCUCCGAGCUGAGGGGUGUGUGUGAUGACAGCUCCAGCCAGGGCACCCUGUCAUUGGUAGAACCGGGGGCCAAUGUCAAAAAACAAAAGCCGUGACUCCUGCGCUGUACCUGGAGUCCUCCAUGUACUCCUCCACAGGACCCCCGGCCAGCCCCAGCCCUCCCCGAGCAGCAGCGGUCAGGGAAGCUGGUGCUCUACCUGACAAUGUGGGGAAAAGCCUGGUAUACAGGCUAGAAAAAGAGAGUAAAAACUCUUUCCACGCAGCCCUGAAGCUCAGCACUCCGGGGGGUCUUCACACGGGCAGGUCCUGGAGGGAAGGAGGAGGCCACCGCGCCCACCUCCCAUCUGAAGGCACAGCACCGCAGUGGUGGCCUGUGCCAGAGGAGGGGGUGAAGGAUGGAAUGUCCUCAUGGAAAAGAAAGAACAUGUGAGUGCUUCUGAAAACACAGCAAGAGGACUUGAGCACAAGCUAAAGGAAAAACAACCCUAUAUAGUUUCUUCGAGUGAGAAAAAUAAUGCCAAACAAAAUAAUUUUAUGUAACUACCUCGAUAUGUCUCUGACUACUUAAAAAUUUGGUUACCCACGCGGGGAGGUGUAAGCAGCACACUGCAGUUAGGAACACCGCCUCCAGUGUUAGCAGCAAAGGCAGGAGCCCAGCUCCAGCCCGUCCAGGAGGGGUCAGCAGGAGCGGCCGGGCUGGGCCAUGGGCAGAACAGGACGGGCAGAGCCCGGGGUGGACGUGGCAGCCCAAGGCUCUCCGAGGAAGUGCACACGACUGAGCCGAGGCCCUUGCAGAGGGAACCUGGUGUGGCCUGAAGUGGUGGGGGGCACAGGGCUGAGGGUCCCCUCCUGGAAGGAGCCCCCAGGGCUGUGUCCACCUAAGAUAGCACCUGGAGCCCUCGGCCUCCAGCAGGGUCUGCAGCUGUGUUGUGUGUUAAGCACCAAAGCCCAGAGGUAAGACGGUGGCAGGGCUCUCUGUGCACCUGGAUUCUACAGGCUGCCAUGGGCCACGGCUGCACCACGGGCCACGGCUGCAGCCACAGGCAGUGACCUGGCUGCUAGGGGAGGGGAGGGCGGGCUCCAGCCGGGCUGACCGGGUGUCUGUAAAACUCUGCACCUGCUCAGGCCAGGGGCCUCUGGGCCGAACACACCACCCCGCCCAGUGCCCACUGGACCCGGCCACAGGCCCAUCACGUGUCCAAGCCAGGCUGGCCAUCACAGGGGCCACUCACACACCCGCACCACCUGCUGGGGACUUAGGACCGUGCUCUCCCUUCACUCAAACCCACCCUGUGCCCUCCCCCAACUCACUUCAUGUCUGGUCCCAGAGCACCCCUCUUGCUGGGGUCGCACCUGCUUAGCCCGCAGGGCUGGUUUCCGUGGGGGGUGGGUUCAGGGGGAAGCAGAGGAGGGGCCGCGAGAGGGGUGAGCGUGGCCCUGGCCCCGCAGUGGAGACCCACCGGACACACACACGGGUGGACGGAGCGAGGCAGCCACCGACCCUGCCGGCGGGCGGGCCUAGGAGAGCCAGGCGAAGUCCUUGUCAGGGCCUCCUGGGGGGCUGCGCGGCCGCGGCGAGUCUUCCUCAUCCUUGUCGUCCGCCAACAGCGCAUCCUCAGGGGCCAGGCCCUCGUCGUCCUCGCCC
rnacentral:lncRNA from 1 species